rnacentral:lncRNA from 1 species
CAAAACAGAUGGAAUAAUUGUGGGUCUUUGUGCUUAUUAUUAUAUUCAUAAAUAUUUGAAAUAUCGUAUAUAGAAUAGUUUAAUUUUCUAGUAUGUCCCUUCCAAAUUGAUUUGAAAAUAAGCUAUUUUCAGAAAAUCUGCUAUUAUUUUUCAAGAUGGCGACCAAAUUGACAGCGUGGGGCGACAUGGUAAAAAUAUUAUUUGUAAGAUUUUUACAAUGAAAAUUAAAUAACUGUUGGAUGCUCGCGUUUUCAGUCAUUGUCUUACCUUAAAGCAGCAUGUAAUCGAACAUUGGUUCCUUUUUAUCAAGCUUCAACAUGCUGUUGUUAUUUUUAUAAAAUUUUGGAAAAUGGCGAACAAAUAAUUUUCAAACGUAGAGGAUGUUCGACACUUAUUUCGUUAAUGCACAUAAUUCAAUUUAUUUUCACUGUUUAUAUUGCAAUUAAAUAUGACACGUUAUUGUAACUAUAAGAAUAGCCUUAAACAUAGCUAGAUUAAGGAGAUAUUAAUUAAGUCAUAACAUCAACGUGAUCAAAGAAAACAAACAUGGCACCUAAUCACGAUGUAAGUUUUGACAAUACCCAUGUAGAUGCAUGUUUUGACAAUACCUAUGCCGGUUAGUGUUGUCCGAUUUUAAAUGAAAUUCUGUGCAAUAUUAUUUUAUAUUCAUAAAAGAA